GACGAACGCUGGCGGCGUGCCUAAUACAUGCAAGUCGAGCGAAGUUUUUCUGGUGCUUGCACUAGAAAAACUUAGCGGCGAACGGGUGAGUAACACGUAAAGAACCUGCCUCAUAGACUGGGACAACUAUUGGAAACGAUAGCUAAUACCGGAUAACAGCAUUAACUGCAUGGUUGAUGUUUAAAAGUUGGUUUUGCUAACACUAUGAGAUGGCUUUGCGGUGCAUUAGCUAGUUGGUGGGGUAAAGGCCUACCAAGGCGACGAUGCAUAGCCGACCUGAGAGGGUGAUCGGCCACACUGGGACUGAGACACGGCCCAGACUCCUACGGGAGGCAGCAGUAGGGAAUCUUCCGCAAAGGGCGAAAGCCUGACGGAGCAACGCCGCGUGAGUGAAGAAGGAUUUCGGUUCGUAAAGCUCUGUUGUUAGGGAAGAAUGAUUGUGUAGUAACUAUACACAGUAGAGACGGUACCUAACCAGAAAGCCACGGCUAACUACGUG
rnacentral:rRNA from 1 species